GAACGGUAACGCGGGGGCAACCCUGGCGACGAGUGGCGAACGGGUGAGUAAUACAUCGGAACGUACCCAGUAGUGGGGGAUAGCUCGGCGAAAGCCGGAUUAAUACCGCAUAUGCCUACGGGUGAAAGCGGGGGACCGCAAGGCCUCGCGCUAUUGGAGCGGCCGAUGUCGGAUUAGCUUGUUGGUGGGGUAAAAGCCUACCAAGGCGACGAUCCGUAGCUGGUCUGAGAGGACGACCAGCCACACUGGGACUGAGACACGGCCCAGACUCCUACGGGAGGCAGCAGUGGGGAAUUUUGGACAAUGGGCGAAAGCCUGAUCCAGCAAUGCCGCGUGUGUGAAGAAGGCCUUCGGGUUGUAAAGCACUUUUGGCGGGAACGAAACAGCGCUUGCUAAUACCGGGCGCGAAUGACGGUACCCGCAGAAUAAGCACCGGCUAACUACGUGCCAGCAGCCGCGGUAAUACGUAGGGUGCGAGCGUUAAUCGGAAUUACUGGGCGUAAAGCGUGCGCAGGCGGCUUUGUAAGACAGAUGUGAAAGCCCCGGGCUUAACCUGGGAAGUGCAUUUGUGACUGCAAGGCUAGAGUGCGUCAGAGGGAGGUGGAAUUCCGCGUGUAGCAGUGAAAUGCGUAGAGAUGCGGAGGAACACCGA
rnacentral:rRNA from 1 species